GGAGAAGCCAAUGUUUACUAGUGCAUGAUUAAAGAUGCUUUUAUCUCUGUAGAACCCCUGAGAAGCUUGAAUUAUUGAGCACAUGUUACAGAGAAGUUAGUAAUUCAGCCAACAUCAUACAGUUAGGAAGAAGAGUCAAGAUUCAAAGCAAGAAAGAAGUACCCAUGUCAUAUGCUGGUUCAAGGGAUAUGCUUAUCAGUCAACCCACCACAAACACUGGCUAUUAAAACACAGCACUUUCUACAGUUCCCUGUUACCCGCUAGGAAGCAUGGGACAGAAAUCAACAUUGUGGCCUAUCUCCCAAAAGUGGAUAAGGUUUCAC